UUACGACCAUAUCAUGUUAAAGCACUGGUUGUCGUCCAAUCACAGAAGUUAAGCAACGUUGAACCUGGUCAUUACUCAGAUGGGUGACCGCUGGGCAAUAUCAGGUGAAGUA